GGCCUUGAACCCAACGACAACCCUUUUUGUUUAUACUACAUGUGGUUUCAAUUUUAAAGUAGUACCCCUAAAAGCAUCAGUCAUAUAUAUAUAUUGAUUUAUAUCUCAAACACACAUUCAGCAACAUAAAUAAAACCUAGUCGUGAGCCUCCUUCUUCACUGUUCUUCUCUGAAGAACAUGAAGAACACCAACAAUGAAACCCAAAAAACAGCAACAAUAAAAACCCAAAAAAAUCCCUUCCCAAACAAAUUCAAACCCAUAAAAAUACAACCAGAAAAAUAGCUAAACACAAUAGAAAAAUCAGAAAAGAAAAGGAAAAGAAAACACCAAGCUUUUAUAGAGGUUCCCCAAAAUUGUGUUGGGUACGUCCUCUUCGAGCUCGCCUCGUUCACUAUGGAUCUUCAAUGAUCAAACGAUUACAAUGGGUUGGAUUCCAAAACACACAUGUAUUAAUUUGUACCACCUUGGUUCCAAAGCUUACUCCAUUUUUCGCUAGCUCUGGAGACAACUAUUAAUAAUGGGAAGGUGUUUUUUUCAAUGUGAUGUGGUGAUGUUUUGAAGACGUUAUAGCUUUAUUGUCUAAAUUUCUGGGGGCAGUUUAUCCCAUGUGGCUCGGGAUAAGAAUUCUGCAGCGCAUGGUUUGGCAAAGUGUGUCCUUCGAUUAGACGAUGAGCUAUCCUGGUUCGAGGAGGUGUCGUCGCCGAUUGUAGAUUGCUGCUUUAUUAAUCUUGUGUGAUUUUGAUCACCGCAUCCAAAAAAAAAAGUGUAGGACUCGAUAUUAAAAUACACCAAUAACAGUUUAUCAUCUCUUGUAAUAUUUGGCACCUUGAGGUACCAUUUAACAUUUCUUUUUCUUAGAGUAUCUCCAAUGGUGCAUCAUCCCACCAAAUUGAUAUGAAAUCUUCAAAUCAUUCUACUCUAAGGAUAUAUCAAAUUAGUGUGCACCAAAUUUUACACUAUUAAUAGUGUUGGAUUUUAAAUCUACACAUAGUCGACCCUAAGGUGAGACGAGCCAGGUGUGCGUCUCGGGUCCCAAAAAUUGUAAAAAAAAUUAUCAGAAAAAAGGUAAGGAUUAAUUCCCAACCUUUACUUUUAAAAUUUUUUUUAGAAAUAUUUAAUAUGUAGUUAUGGAUGAUUGAACUUUAGAACUCUUAAGAAUUUUAAAUAUGUUUACCACUAUACUAAAAUAAUAAGUUUAUUAUUUUGAUGACAA